rnacentral:rRNA from 1 species
GAUGAACGCUGGCGGCGUGCCUAAUACAUGCAAGUCGAGCGAACAGAUAAGGAGCUUGCUCCUUUGACGUUAGCGGCGGACGGGUGAGUAACACGUGGGUAACCUACCUAUAAGACUGGAAUAACUCCGGGAAACCGGAGCUAAUGCCGGAUAACAUUUAGAACCGCAUGGUUCUAAAGUAAAAGAUGGUUUUGCUAUCACUUAUAGAUGGACCCGCGCCGUAUUAGCUAGUUGGUAAGGUAAUGGCUUACCAAGGCAACGAUACGUAGCCGACCUGAGAGGGUGAUCGGACACACUGGAACUGAGACACGGUCCAGACUCCUACGGGAAGCAGCAGUAGGGAAUCUUCCGCAAUGGGCGAAAGCCUGACGGAGCAACGCCGCGUGAGUGAUGAAGGGUUUCGGCUCGUAAAACUCUGUUAUUAGGGAAGAACAAACGUGUAAGUAACUGUGCACGUCUUGACGGUACCUAAUCAGAAAGCCACGGCUAACUACGUGCCAGCCGCCGCAGUAA